rnacentral:rRNA from 1 species
AUUGAACGCUGGCGGCAUGCCUUACACAUGCAAGUCGAACGGUAACAGGUGUUCGGCUUCUUACGUUUGGCGAACGGGUGUGUAAUACAGCGGAACGUGCCCGAUCUUGGGGGAUAACGAGGCGAAAGCAUUGCUAAUACCCCAUACGAUCUACGGAUUAGAACGGGGGGUCUUCGGACCUCGCGCGGACGGAGCGGCCGGUGGCAGGUGAGGUAGUUGGUGGGUGACAGGCUUACCAAGCCGACGAUCUGUAGCUGGUCUGAGAGGGUGAGCAGGCACACUGGGACUGAGACACGGCCCAGACUCCUACGGGAGGGAGCAGUGGGGAAUGUUGGACAAUAGGCGAAAGCCUGAUCCAGCCAUGCCGCGUGCAGGAUGAAGGUCUUCGGGUUGUAAACUGCUUUUGUACGGAACGAAAAGCCUCUUUCUAAGAAAGAGGGGUCAUGACGGUACCGGAAGAAUAAGCACCGGCUAACUACGUG